GCUUGUCUCAAAGAUUAAGCCAUGCAUGUCUAAGUAUAAACAACUCUAUACUGUGAAACUGCGAAUGGCUCAUUAUAUCAGUUAUAGUUUAUUUGAUAGUACCUUACUACUUGGAUAACCGUAGUAAUUCUAGAGCUAAUACAUGCAUACAACCCCAACUGCCUGUGCGGACGGGGCGUAUUUAUUAGAUCGAAACCAAUGCGGGGCAACCCGGUAUUGUGGUGAUUCAUAAUAACCGAACGAAUCGUAUGGCAUCAGCUGGCGAUGAAUCAUUCAAGUUUCUGACCUAUCAGCUUCCGACGGUAGGGUAUUGGCCUACCGUGGCAAUGACGGGUAACGGAGAAUUAGGGUUCGAUUCCGGAGAGGGAGCCUGAGAAACGGCUACCACAUCUAAGGAAGGCAGCAGG
rnacentral:rRNA from 1 species